rnacentral:tRNA from 1 species
AAAUAAGAAGCGAUAAUUUUGCCUCCAGUUUCGACCUGGAAAUAGAUGAAAAUUCAUCCUUAUUUA